CCCCACUGCUAUCGGGAUGAGACUAAAACAUGCAAGUUGUGCGUCCUAAGCUAUGUUAGGGCGCAGCGUACGGCUCAGUAACACGUGGCUAACCUACCCUUAGGACGGGAACAACCCCGGGAAACUGGGGCUAAUUCCCGAUAGGUGAGGAGGCCUGGAAUGGUUUCUCGCUUAAAGGGUGUCAGGACCAUGCUUCCUAACAUUGCCUAAGGAUGGGGCCGCGUCCGAUCAGGUUGUUGGCGAGGUAAUGGCUCACCAAGCCAUUGACCGGUACGGGCCAUGAGAGUGGUAGCCCGGAGAUGGGCACUGAGACAAGGGCCCAGGCCCUACGGGGCGCAGCAGUUGCGAAACCUCCGCAAUGCGCGAAAGCGUGACGGGGUUACCCCGAGUGCCGUCCGCUGAGGAUGGCUUUUCUCCAGUGUAAUGAGCUGGAGGAAUAAGGGGAGGGCAAGACUGGUGUCAGCCGCCGCGGUAAUACCAGCUCCCCAAGUGGUGGGGAUGAUUAUUGGGCUUAAAGCGUUCGUAGCCGGCCUGACAAGUCUUUCGUUAAAUCCAGUGACUUAAUCGCUGGGCUGCGGGAGAUACUAUUAGGCUAGGGGGCGGGAGAGGUCGACGGUAUUCUCGGGGUAGGGGUGAAAUCCUAUAAUCCUGAGAGGACCACCAGUGGCGAAGGCGGUCGACUAGAACGCGCUCGACGGUGAUGGACGAAAGCUGGGGGAGCGAACCGGAUUAGAUACCCGGGUAGUCCCAGCCGUAAACGAUGCGGGCUAGGUGUUGGAGCGGAUACGAACCGCUUCAGUGCCGCAAGGAAACCGUUAAGCCCGCCGCCUGGGAAGUACGGUCGCAAGGCUGAAACUUAAAGGAAUUGGCGGGGGAGCACUACAAGGCGUGAAGCUUGCGGUUC
rnacentral:rRNA from 1 species